UACAGAGGUCUCAAGCGUUGUUCGGAUUCAUUGGGCGUAAAGGGUGCGUAGGUGGCGCUGUAAGUCGGGUGUGAAAUUUCGGAGCUUAACUCCGAAACUGCAUUCGAUACUGCCGUGCUUGAGGACUGGAGAGGAGACUGGAAUUUGACGGUGUAGCAGUGAAAAUGCGUAGAGAUCAUGAGGAAGACCAGUGGCGAAGGCGGGUCUCUGGACAGUUCCUGACACUGAGACACGAAGGCCAGGGAGCAAACGGG
rnacentral:rRNA from 1 species